UGACUAGGCUUCAUACCGGUAUCACGC
rnacentral:piRNA from 1 species